rnacentral:rRNA from 1 species
UACGUAGGGUGCAAGCGUUGUCCGGAAUUAUUGGGCGUAAAGAGCUCGUAGGCGGCUUGUCACGUCGGCUGUGAAAACCUGGGGCUCAACCCCGGGCCUGCAGCCGAUACGGGCAAGCUAGAAUUCGGUAGGGGAGACUGGAAUUCCUGGUGUAGCGGUGAAAUGCGCAGAUAUCAGGAGGAACACCGGUGGCGAAGGCGGAUCUCUGGGCCGAUAUUGACGCUGAGGAGCGAAAGCGUGGGGAGCGAACAGG